rnacentral:rRNA from 1 species
GCAUAUCAAUAAGCGGAGGAAAAGAAACCAACCGGGAUUGCCUCAGUAACGGCGAGUGAAGCGGCAAGAGCUCAAAUUUGAAAGCUGGCCCCUCCGGGGUCCGCAUUGUAAUUUGCAGAGGAUGCUUCGGGCUCAGCCCCCGUCUAAGUGCCCUGGAACGGGCCGUCGGAGAGGGUGAGAAUCCCGUCUGGGACGGGGUGCCUGGGUCCAUGUGAAGCUCCUUCGACGAGUCGAGUUGUUUGGGAAUGCAGCUCUAAAUGGGUGGUAAAUUUCAUCUAAAGCUAAAUACUGGCCGGAGACCGAUAGCGCACAAGUAGAGUGAUCGAAAGAUGAAAAGCACUUUGAAAAGAGAGUUAAACAGCACGUGAAAUUGUUGAAAGGGAAGCGCUUGCGAUCAGACUCGCCUGCGGGGUUCAGCCGGCAUUCGUGCCGGUGUACUUCCCCGUGGGCGGGCCAGCGUCGGUUCGGGUGGCCGGUCAAAGGCCCCGGGAAUGUGUCGCCCUCCGGGGCGUCUUAUAGCCCGGGGUGCCAUGCGGCCUACCUGGACCGAGGAACGC